GACGAACGCUGGCGGCGUGCUUAACACAUGCAAGUCGAACGGAAAGGCCCUGCUUUUGUGGGGUGCUCGAGUGGCGAACGGGUGAGUAACACGUGAGUAACCUGCCCUUGUCUUUGGGAUAACUCCAGGAAACUGGGGCUAAUACCGGAUAGGAGCUGCUGCUGCAUGGUGGGGGGUGGGAAGUUGCGGUGGUUGGGGGUGGACUGCCCGCUUGUUAGCUUGUUGGUGGGGUAGUGGUUUACCAAGGCUUUGACGGGUAGCCGGCGCGAGAAGGUGACGGGCGACAUAGGGACUGGGAUACGGCGCAGACUCCUACGGGAGACAGCAGUGGAGAAUAUGGAAGAAUGAGGGGAAGCCGGAGGCAGCAACGCCGCGGGCGUGAUGACGUGCUUCGGUUUGUAAACCGCUUUAGCCUGUGACGAAGCGGGAGUGAGGGUAAUGGGUAAAGAAGCACCGGCUAACUACGUG
rnacentral:rRNA from 1 species